AUUUAUAUAGUUUAAAUUAAAACAUUUCAUUUUCAAUGAAAAAAGGGAUACUCUCCUAUAAAUU
rnacentral:tRNA from 1 species